AUGAUUGUUAACAGAAUCUUAUAAAUGAAACAAUGAAAAAGAGCUCAUUAAAAAUACCCUCAAGGCCAGUUAGAUAAAAUAGCACAUUUAUUAAAAAGAAACAGCAUCAAUUUGCAGUUCCCACUUCAGAAGCCUUCUCUCAAGACCGUGUGGGUGCUAACCGUUCCAGUACUAUUUCACCAGUUCCCAUGUUCUCUACAGUUCUGAGGGAGGAGGUUCAAGAGGGGACAGGUAGCAGAACACGACUAACAUUAACAGAUAAACUACAUCCCGAGUAAAUGCAGCAGUUUAUGUGGCAUGGAGCAAUACACAUGAAUGGAUGGAGGACACAACGAAAGGCCUCCAUGUGGUCUUUGGCUAUUGUCCAAGAAGUUGUGCAUUUGUAGAGGACAAACUAAACUGUUUUUCAGAUGACAAAACAAUUCAACUCAAUCAUGCAAUAAAUAAACCUAAACGGUGGAAAUAAAGAUUCAAAGAGCACAAAAUGAUAAAGCACAUGAGGAUGUAUUCAAAUUUAAGGCAACAAGGAAUCAAAAGUACACAAUACAUAACAAAAAGAAGAAAAAAAAACAAUCACACCUACAAACAAACAAAAAAUGCUUUUAAAACAACACCAGGCAGUGCAAUAAUUCACACUAAUAAAAGACUCAUAAUAAAAAAAAAAAAAUUAAUUCAAAAGAUCCUGAGGAAAUAAAAAACAACUACUUCUGGAAAAUAAAGUAUUUCAAUAUUUCUAAUAUUCAACCCAUUUCCUUUUGCUUAAAUUACACAACAU